UACGGAGGAUGCGAGCGUUAUCCGGAUUUAUUGGGUUUAAAGGGUGCGCAGGCGGAAUGUCAAGUCAGCGGUAAAAUUUCGGGGCUCAACCCCGUCGUGCCGUUGAAACUGGCGUUCUUGAGUGUUGGAGAGGCAGGCGGAAUUCCGUGUGUAGCGGUGAAAUGCGUAGAUAUACGGAGGAACACCAGUGGCGAAGGCGGCCUGCUGGACAAUAACUGACGCUGAGGCGCGAAAGCGUGGGUAUCGAACAGG
rnacentral:rRNA from 1 species